CGUAGGGUGCAAGCGUUGUCCGGAAUUAUUGGGCGUACAGAGCUCGUAGGCGGUUUGUCGCGUCUGCUGUGAAAACUCGGGGCUUAACCCCGGGCCUGCAGUGGGUACGGGCAGACUAGAGUGCGGUAGGGGAGACUGGAAUUCCUGGUGUAGCGGUGAAAUGCGCAGAUAUCAGGAGGAACACCGGUGGCGAAGGCGGGUCUCUGGGCCGUAACUGACGCUGAGGAGCGAAAGCGUGGGGAGCGAACAGG
rnacentral:rRNA from 1 species